rnacentral:lncRNA from 1 species
CUUCUAGAACAUGGUUCCCAAGAAAGCAUUUUCCACAGAUACGCUCAGCAGUCGUUGGACCUGGGUGCCCCCCAGCUGCAGAGUCUGCUCAACCAGGAGUUCCUGAGAGGUAAGUUGUCCCUGCGGCCUGCUGGCCCAGCCUCACCCCACGGCCAAGCAGGGCUGGUGUCACCCGUCUGACACCCCAGUCCUGCCUGCUCCCCCCUCCCAGGGUCUCCAGGGGACACAUUCUCCUUGGACGCGUGCCGGGGCCUCAUGGCUCUGAUGGAUCUGAAAGUGAACGGACGCCUGGACCUAGAGGAAUUUGAGAGGCUGUGGAGGCGCCUUGUCGACUACCAGGUACAUGGCAUGUUCUCUUCCCACACCCCGAUCCAGUCCCCUUCAGCGAGUC